AAAUAUGUUUUAGGUUCCAUUAGAUUAAAAGGGAAAGAGGUGAAAUUCCUCUACAGCCCCCGUUACUGUAAUGUGGACGAAACUCAAUAUACCACUGUGAAAUUUUGUUAAAUGAAUAUAUGUGAGGGUAGCAAAUUUUAUGGGAAGGUGAGGAGUAGGAUGAAGCUAAGUCAGGAGACCUGCC
rnacentral:ncRNA from 1 species